rnacentral:rRNA from 1 species
GAUGACGCUGGCGGCGUGCCUAAUACAUGCAAGUCGAACGAGUGGCGAACGGGUGAGUAACACGUGGGAACCUACCCUUCAGCGGGGUAUGACCAUCGGAAACGAUGACUAAUACCGCAUAGUGAGGGAUGGUCCCGCGGUGCAUUAGCUAGCCGGUGGGGUAACGGCCUUCCGUUGCUUUGAUGCAUAGCCGACCUGAGAGGGUGAUAAGCCACACUGGGACUGAGACACGGCCCAGACUCCGACGUGAGGCAGCAGUGGGGAAUAUUGCAUAAUGGGCGCAAGCCUGAUGCAGCCAUGCCGCGUGUAUGAAGAAGGCCUUAGGGUUGUAAAGUACUUUCAGCGGGGAGGCGUUACCCGCAGAAGAAGCACCGGCUAACUCCGUGCCAGCAGCCGCGGUAAUAC